GCUGUCAAGCCGUACACGUGAGCGCGAUUGCGCCUAAGGUUAUUUUCAUCAGAUUGCCGGCGAGUCACCGGUAACAACUACCGCUCGUGAUUUAAAAUUCAGACGACAUUUUCAGUCCGCGUGCAGGUCGCCCAGCAAAAUGGAGCUGAAUGCCGGGAGGGGAAUGCGUCUGAGAAUGCUGACUAGAUUGGACCGGACCAAAGGAGGGGACGUGACUCCAAUGAAUCCGUCCCGUGGCUGUAAAAUGGGACAGCAAAAAUCUUUCAUUUUGCACGGCAAUGAGGCGCCUUCAUCGUAGUGUCACAGGAGGGAUUACAGCUGCUGAGUCAUGUGUGGGCAGAGCAGGUAAGCAGCCAGCGUUGCUAUGGCGUCGCGCUUGAAAGGAUUCAAAGUGUAUGUUAGAUGUCAGACUUAAAAAAAAAUC